rnacentral:tRNA from 1 species
GUGCCUGUAGUUCAGCGGUAGAGCGCCAGAUUGUGGAUCUGGUUGUCGUGGGUUCGAUCCCCACCAGGCACC